CUGUUUUUUUUUUUAAAAAACUUUUCCGACGGAAACCUCUCCAUCUCUGACGGAAAUUUCCGUCGGAACGUUGCGACGGAUUUUCAAUUAAAGUCAAAAAAGGGCCGACAGAAAUAAAUCCGUCGGGAUUCCGUUGGAAACAAGCCUUCCGACGGAAAUUCCAUCGGAAAAGGUCGAAUUUCUGACAAGGGCCACUCCGACAGACCUAUUCCGACGGAAUUCCGUCGGAAGGCUUGUUUCCGACGGAAUUUCCGAUGAUUCCGACAGCUUUGUUCCGUCGGAAUCAAGCUGUUUUCUUGUAGUGUUUCGUAGGGUAGGGUAUGGUAGUAAGGUUGAGUCGGUGAAUAUAUAUAUAUAUAUAUAUAUUACUAUUAAAAUAUUACUUUUUAGAGUUCACAAAUUAGAAAGGCUCUACAGUAACUUUGUACUUCCUAUUGCUUGUGUGGUUUGAUUUAUAGUGAAAUCAUUUGCAUGAGUCUUUCUACAUACAACACACAAAGCAAUACAAAAGUUUCAAGGUCAGAACUUUUCACACAUAUACAUUGCUGCGAAGAAAGCAAGGGAAGCAUUCAAGUGAUUACUCUGGUGAUUCAAGUUUCCUUGCAUAAGGUAUCUUUACGUUUGGGAGUUAUUGGGAUUACGGCUGAUGCUGAAGUGCUUUUUCUGGCUUAUAUAUACUAAACCUCACUAUCCAUCCUUAUCAUCCAAGACAAAAAAAAACCUCUCAAACCAUCAACUACUGCUACAUAUUGAAGGCUCACAAUCAUGGAACAAGGGUAUGUAUAUCUGAAUGAGUUGAACAGCAACAGCAAGAAUUACAAUGUGAAAGUUAGAGUUGUAGAAAAAUCAAGGCCAAAAACUUCUUCCAAGAAAGUAGUACCGUUUUAGAAUUUUCUACUCACUGAUGAAAAGGGAAACAAUAUGAAGGCUGCAUUGUUUGGGGAACAAGUUGACAGUUUCAAUGAAGCGAUAGUCUAUAAUGGACAAUAUAUCAUUUCAAAUGCUCUAAUCAAGCUCAUAGAAGAACGGUGGAGAAACAAUUCAGAUGAGCUUCCUUUCCAAGUGACUUUUGGAGGACAGACUGUGGUCCAGAGAGUGAAUUCUGAAGGAACAAUAGAUGGACCAAUGUUUCAGUCUAUACAAUCUUUUUCUCGCAUUUUAAUGCCAGGAACUAAAUAUGGUAACCAGUAUCUUACCUUCUUCUUUAUAUUCCACAUUAAAAAUUUAUUUAGUGAUCCAUCAUUAGCACUAAAAAUAAUAUAUGUAUAUUGUAGAUGUUCUAGGCAUUAUUCUUUUUGUAGAAGAUAAAGUUCGUAUUAUCAAUGCUAAUCAAGGCCGAGAAUUCCAUGUUAGAGAAAUUGUUAUAACUGAUCAAACGUAAGUGUAUACAUAACCUUAACUUUAUAGAUCUCUAUUCAUAGGAGCUCAUUUGAAGCUAGAUUUCAAAUUGUGUUUGUAUUUCCAGCAUGGACCAACCUCUUAUUAUAAUACUUGGAAUGAUUUAGCUGAUAAUGCCUGUGACGCUAUUAGUUUAUAUGCUAAAACCUUUGAUGUGAUUAGCUUCACUACUUUAAGACCAUCUGUGCAUAAAGGUAUGCAUAACUAAAAGUAUUAAUAUCAAUUUCAAAAUUCCUCAACAACAUUAAAUAUUUAUCUACAAAAACUAACUUCUAUAUAUGCUUUACAAGGAUUCUCUUUAUCUACUGGUAUGUCUACUGAAAUCAUAUAUGAUCCUAAAGGAGAUAAAGCCGAAAUUCUCCGUGAAUGGCAUGUAUACAAAAACAUUAUAUGAUUUGAUAUCUCUUACAAACAAAAUAUGAUAAAUAUUAACGAGAUUUCUACAUAGGGCAAGGUUUCAUACUCAACAGCUCUUACACCGACAAGCAAAGGUACUGCAGGUGCAUUUUGCACCUACAGAUGAAACACCUAUAGACAUUUAUAGUGUCGGAACAAAAAAAACCAUGUAAUGUACUUCAAGAAGAGCGCCAUUGUUACGAGUAACAAUAUCGCAACCUGAUUUAAAAGAUGUUGUUACUUAUAUUGGGUGUUUAGCUUGUGGGAAACGCAUAGAUAUUCCUGUCGGCACAUAAUUCAAUUGUGCCAACUACAAGAAAAAGGAUAGCAUUUCUACAUAUCGAGUUACAUUCAAAUUUGAUGCCACAGAUCACUCAUGAACAAUGACUUUCACAACUUUUACGGCUGAUACAAAAAAAUUAUUUGGAUUAUCUGCCCAAGAAAUUCAUUUGAUCAAAAACUCUGAAAAUGUUCAAAUGUUCGAUUCAAUUCAGCAGCAGAUUUAUAACAGCCAUGUUCUGGUACAAGUAGGUCCAAUAACAACCCUCUCAAGAAACAAUAUUCUUCAAUGGUGUUUGAAAGGCAUAAAAGUAGAAGCGAGCAACACAAAACUAGUGAUAGCAGUUCCAUGGCAACAUCUUCAGAGCUUAGAAAUACAGAAUCACAUUCACAAGAUCAUGGUGCUGAUAAAAUAUAUGCAAGUAACUUUUCUUUUGGUCAGAAAGUGUUAAGAUCAGAACCUGAAGUACACACUACAGGUUCUGGAAUGGUUAAGGCAACAGAUUAUCAAACAGCUGAUGAAAUAGCCACAGUUAAAUCAUUGCUGGAGUUACCACAACAACCACCUAAGAGAAGUUGUACUGAAGCACAUUUAACCAAAAUCAAAGAUGGUGCAAAAGAUUGGAAUCCUAUAAUCUCUGGUAACUUUGCUCAGACAGAUUUUACAGUGCGUGGUCACUUAGCUUUAGAUGUGAGCAAGCAGGUUGGUUUGAGCUUUGAUAAACCAACUCCUGUUAUAAAUCAACAAGUUGCUGCAAGUUCUAGUCCUGUUGAAACAUUCAUUGUUUCUAUGAAAUAAGAACGAACAAUAAAAAAAUUUGCUGAAGUUAUUUCCACAAUAGCAACACCAAAAAAACGCUCUUUGACUGCUCUGUUUGCAACGACAGAAGCUAUAGAUCCAGCACAGACAAGUGACUCAUAGAUCAAAAACCAACCUAACAUUGAAGAAGCUAUUGAUUCCUCCACACUUAAAGAACAUAUUGCUCACAUAACCUCUCCUACAGCAUCAACUAAUUAAGUAACACCACGGGUUCUUUAAGCUUAGAAAGACAUAUGAAAGUAGAAUUAGUACUUUAAGAAAGAACUCCUUGACCCUUUUUCAUGCGAACAAUAUUAGUCUCAAACCCAUUUUGUCAUGCAUGAUUUUUAAAAUGAAAAAACUAUAAGAGUGCUGCCUAUUCAUACAUGUUACUAUCUUAGCUAAGUAAGGGUUGAUGGACCUUUAAGCUACACUAGACACAUUGAUAUUUUUG